CAGUCGCCGCGGGAAUACGUAGGGUGCAAGCGUUAAUCGGAAUUACUGGGCGUAAAGCGUGCGCAGGCGGUUAUAUAAGACAGAUGUGAAAUCCCCGGGCUCAACCUGGGAACUGCAUUUGUGACUGUAUAGCUAGAGUACGGCAGAGGGGGAUGGAAUUCCGCGUGUAGCAGUGAAAUGAGUAGAUAUGCGGAGGAACACCGAUGGCGAAGGCAAUCCCCUGGGCCUGUACUGACGCUCAUGCACGAAAGCGUGGGGAGCAAACAGGAUUAGAUACCCGAGUAGUCCCUGUCUCUUAUAC
rnacentral:rRNA from 1 species